AGAUCGAGUCGAGCGGCUCUCAGCCAAUUAAAUUACGCUGUUUGAUCACAUGACACCGUUAGCCAGCAGUGUGUCUCCUGAAAAGAGAGCUGAUUAGAGGUGAGUGAUUAAGUUUUUCUCCUAAAUAGAGAUCAUUACAGAACGCCUAGUCCUACUUAAAAUCCCAUUCAUUUUUCUUUUAUUUUAUCAUCUACUCGAACUGAGGAAAACAUUUGACUAACUCAACGAACAUUUCCGCGCCUCCCCUGCCUGUCUGCAGAGGCAGUUUUGAAUUUAGGAGUGGCAAGAUGGCAGCGGCAAACCCUGGCGGUUCUCCGGGUUCGUGGCAACCACGGAUGGGGAAAAUGUGGAGGUUGCACGGCUGAUGUUUACUGUUCAUGGCACAGGAAGAGGCAGUUUUAUUUCAGGAAUGAGUGAGCACAAUCAAAGAAUAGAGCGACUGUGGAGAGACCUCUGGGUGGCCAUUACAUGCUUUACUACGAUGUUCUUCACAACCUUGAGGAAGAAGACCUUCUUGACAUUUCAAAUGCUGCACACCUCUUUUGCUGCCAUUACGUCUUUCUUCCUCGACUGGAGGAUGAUUUUAAUACAUUUUGCAGUGGAU
ensembl:lncRNA